GUGAACGCUGGCGGUAGGCCUAACACCUGCAAGUCGAACGGCAGCACAGUAAGAGCUUGCUCUUACGGGUGGCGAGUGGCGGACGGGGGAGGAAUACAUCGGAAUCUACUUUUUCGUGGGGGAUAACGUAGGGAAACUUACGCUAAUACCGCAUACGACCUACGGGUGAAAGCAGGGGAUCUUCGGACCUUGCGCGAUUGAAUGAGCCGAUGUCGGAUUAGCUAGUUGGCGGGGUAAAGGCCCACCAAGGCGACGAUCCGUAGCUGGUCUGAGAGGAUAAUCAGCCACACUGGAACUGAGACACGGUCCAGACUCCUACGGGAGGCAGCAGUGGGGAAUAUUGGACAAUGGGCGCAAGCCUGAUCCAGCCAUACCGCGUGGGUGAAGAAGGCCUUCGGGUUGUAAAGCCCUUUUGUUGGGAAAGAAAAGCAGCAGGUUAAUACCCCGCUGUUCUGACGGUACCCAAAGAAUAAGCACCGGCUAACUUCGUG
rnacentral:rRNA from 1 species